UAUAUAUAUAUAAUGAUUUUAACAAAUUUGUUUUUCAUAUAGAUAAAAAAUGUCAAGUAAGAAAUCAAAGUCAAGAAUUCAACAAAGUAGUAGUGAUUCUGAUUCUGGUCCUGAAGAUCGUCAUCCACCACAGAAGAAAGUAAAAGUA